CGCAAGCCUGACGGAGCAAGACCGCGUGGGGGAGGAAAGCCUUUGGGUUGUAAACCCCUUUUCUCAGGGAAGAAGAAAGUGACGGUACCUGAGGAAUCAGCCUCGGCUAACUCCGUGCCAGCAGCCGCGGUAAUACGGAGGAGGCAAGCGUUAUCCGGAAUGAUUGGGCGUAAAGCGUCCGUAGGCGGUUUAUCAAGUCUGUCGUUAAAGACUGCAGCUUAACUGUGGGCGAGCGGUGGAAACUGAUUAACUAGAGUGUGGUAGGGGUAGAGGGAAUCCCCAGUGUAGCGGUGAAAUGCGUAGAUAUUGGGAAGAACACCAGUGGCGAAGGCGCUCUACUGGGCCACAACUGACGCUGAGGGACGAAAGCUAGGGGAGCG
rnacentral:rRNA from 1 species